GCUCAGACACUUGUUCCUUGCGCUCUCAGCUUGCUUUCUUUAGCGACAUUCGACAAUUUGUGGCGGCGCUGCUGUGGAGAAAGACAGGUGUGAUUCCCCUUCCUGAUGCCCCCUCCGCAUAGCGCCCCACCCCCACCACUCGUGGAUUCUGUUGAAUCCCGCGGUCGCUAAGGAUGCAGAAAAGAACAUCACCACCACAGUCAUAAAGAUUUACACAAUCCGAAAAGAUGGGCAUGAGGAGCCCGAGGAUGUGGGAAUUAUGAUCGAGGGCAUUAAAGUCCUCAACAACGCUGGCAGUGUCAUCAUGGUGUUGAUCAUGCUGUUUGGGCUCAUCAGGGCACUUCAUCUAGUCUUUCCAGAAAACCUGAAGUACACCUCUGAAGUUUUCCAGAUGAUCAUUAUGAACUAGGAUGGACCCAAGCUAGUCCAUCAAAGGUACAGCAGCUGAAAAUAUAACUUUUUUCAUAAAGGACAGUCAGGGUGUGUGCUCACAGUCCAAGACUGUCAUCGAAGAUGCUUUUCUAGUACCGUAUUUUCACGACCAUAAGGCGCACCGUAUUAAAAGGUGCAGUCUCAGUUACGGGGUCUAUUUCUGUAUUUAACACAUACAUAAGGCGCAACGUAUUAUUGGGCGCAGGCAUGGUAAAACAUACGCUAACUUAAAACGUACGGUAGCAUGCAUGCACGCUAAAACAAUGUUUUUAAAAUGGCAGCGGGAGCAAAACUGAGUUCGGUUGUACUUUAUUGAAGUAUUUAACAAUGUACUCACGUUAUUUUUUGAUCAAUCCUCAUCCACAAAUCCAUCAAAGUCCUCAUCUGUAUCCGAAAUGAACAGCUGGGCAAGUUCUCCAUCAAACACGCCAGGUUCGAGUCAGUCUCGUUGCCGUGUGGCUCCUCAGAAAUGAUGCCGGCUUUUACGAAAGCUCGAACAGUGCCAGCAGACAGUUAGCCCAAACAUCCCCAAUCCAUUCACAAAUUGUGGCGUAUCUCGCCCGGCACUGUUCCCCCUCGUUUUAGUAAAGCUGUGUUCGCCAUCUGUCAUCCAUGGCUCCCACGUCGCUCACUUCACUUUGAACACCCUGUUUACACAGAUGUCCAGCGGUUCGUCAAGCCUCCCGGAAUGAUGGCAAGGUCCAAGUUAUUGCACUCAGUCGAAUGGUGACUGUAGAGAUGCUUCUCCCGGCUGUUAUUUGCUCGUUAAUCCAACUCGGGCCACCUCGCCUUGUUUCCGCAUUUUGUUUUUCUUUUUUUCAACGGAAACUCAGCUUCGUCUUCUUGACUUGGCGAAGCUCGUUUUCCUGCUUCCUCCACUAGCGAACCAUGGAUUCAUUGAUCUUGAAUUCUCUCGCGGCUGCUCGAUUCCCAUGUUUCUCCGCCUAACUGAUAGCUGGCAGUUUAAACUGUGCUUCGUAAGCGUGUCUCUUCGUAGGUGCCGUUUUCGACUGCGGUCAAGCCAGCCUCCACUCGUAAAGUAGCAGUCAAGCCAGCCGCCCCUAAUUUUGUUCAUACUAGGCAUUACGGUAAUAGGUCGCCAACUCGUGGCGAAAGCCACCUUCAAAAUAAAAGCUUCCCAAUAAUAUGGAAGUCAGUGCUCUUCGGUUGAGGAAUGCAACCAGAAAAGUAAAUUUGAAUCUUGAGAUAGAUUAAAAAAUUGUUUCUUUGAUAUCUUAGGAAAAAUAAAUGGUAAAUGGACUGCACUUAUAUAGCACUUUAUCUACAUCAUCACAGUGCCCAAAGCGCUUUACACAGCCUCAAAUUCACACACACAUUCAUAAACCAAUGGGCGGCUGCUGCCAUGCAAGGGGCUGCCAGGCCCACUGGGAGCAAAUUAGGGUUCAGUGUCUUGCCCAAGGACACUUCGACAUGCGGACAGUCGUAGCAGGGAUUCAAACCUGUUCUACCUACUGAGCCAAAGCCACCCCAACAUAAUCCCAUUGGUAUCACAAGACAAGUCCAGAUCUGUGUGACAGACCACGAAGGACUCCACUAAAAGAUUUUUGAUGAGGAUCUGAUAUUAUAUUUCAAAAUAAAAGUCUCUGAAAACAACUAAACAAAAUUUUUUAAUGCAUCUCAAGAUUCAAAUUAACCUUGCUGGUUGCAUUUCUUAACCGAGGAGCAUUGACGUCCGUAUUAUUGGGAAGCUUUUGAGAGGCUGGCUUGACCGGCGCUAUAUAAAGGGGGUGUGCCUUUAGCGUCCUCCUUCAUGCGCGCCCUUCCCCCCUUUACGUCUGCAUGCUGUCCUCAGCCACGUCUGCUUUUCCUCUGUAUAAGCAGCGUGUCGGCAGGAAAUGCUCCCAGUCAGUCAAGCGGAGCGCUCAUCAAAGUCACACAACAUUUACAGAUUUUGGAACUCGGUGCACACAUAAGGCGUGGUGCCGCAUUAUAAGGCGCCCCGUCCAUUUUGGAGAAAAUGUACGACUUCUAAGUGCGCCUUAUGGUCGUGAAAAUACGGUACUUAAAAUGUGUUAAUUCAAGAUACACUAACCUGCGUUACUAUA